GUCUUGUAUUAUUUUAACUUUUAGUUUCUUGUGUACAAUUUGGAGUUUAGUAUGGUGUUCAUUAUCACUGAACCAAUAUAUAUUUGUUUAAGGGCCAGCUGAAGGACGCCUCCGGGUGCGAGAAUUUCUCGUUGCAUUGAAGACCUGUUGGUGACCUUCUGCUGUUGUCUGCUCUAUGGUCGGGUUGUUGUCUCUUUGGCACAUUCCCCAU
rnacentral:lncRNA from 1 species